UACGUAGGGUGCGAGCGUUAAUCGGAAUUACUGGGCGUAAAGUGUGCGCAGGCGGCCAUGCAAGUCGAGUGUGAAAGCCCCGGGCUUAACUUGGGAAUUGCGCUCGAAACUACGUGGCUGGAGUGUGGCAGAGGAAGGUGGAAUUCCACGUGUAGCGGUGAAAUGCGUAGAGAUGUGGAGGAACACCAAUGGCGAAGGCAGCCUUCUGGGCUAACACUGACGCUCAUGCACGAAAGCGUGGGGAGCAAACAGG
rnacentral:rRNA from 1 species